rnacentral:misc_RNA from 1 species
GGAAGGAUCAUUACUAAAGAUUCACGUCUUUGGUUCCAUCUCGUGCACUGUUUACCCCCUUCGGGACUUCGGUCUUGUUGGGGCCCCUUUUUUACCCUUUACUUUAUAUAUAUACUUCUGGUUAGGUGGCGAAUAUAAUAAAACUUUCAGCAACGGAUCUCUAGGCUCUUGCAUCGAUGAAGAACGCAGCGAAAUGUGAUAACUAAUGUGAAUUGCAGAACUACGUGAAUCAUCGAGUCUUUGAACGCAUAUUGCACCCUGUGGUAUUCCGCAGGGUAUGCCUGUUUGAGUGUCAGUAAAUAACCUCAAGCCUUUAUUGGUUUGGAUUUGAGGGUUUAGUUUGUCAAAGCUAAUCCCUUUAAAAGUAUCGGUGAGCAGUUUGAAUUUGGGUUUAGAUGCUCUUAACUUGACAAGGACUUUUAGUUCGCGUUAGUUAAUCUUUUUUACCUGUGAACUGUUAACUUGCCUUAGUUUAUUUACCCUGAGUUUUCGGACUCUUGUAACUUGACCUCAAAUCAGGUAGGAUUACCCGCUGAACUUAAGCAUAUUAAUAAGCGGAGGAAAAGAAAAUAACAAUGAUUCCCCUAGUAACGGCGAGUGAAGCGGGAUCAGCUCAAAUUUGAAAUCUGGGAGGUUUUGCCUCUCCGAAUUGUAAUUUGAAGAAGUGUUAUCUGUGGUGGCCGAGGUUUAAGUCCCUUGGAAGAGGGCGUCAUAGAGGGUGAGAAUCCCGUCUUUGGCCUCGCGUCCACUGCUUUGUGAUGCACUUUCUAAGAGUCGGUUUGUUUGGGAUUGCAGACCAAAAUGGGUGGUAAAUUUCAUCCAAGGCUAAAUAUUGGCAAGAGACCGAUAGCGAACAAGUACCGUGAGGGAAAGAUGAAAAGAACUUUGAAAAGAGAGUUAAAAGUACGUGAAAUUGCUGAAAGGGAAACGCUUGAACUCGUUGCAUAUCGGCAGAAGAUCAGCUAGUAGUUCUUAGGUGGCAUUGGUGAGUGAGGUUAAACCGCUUGCUAGUGUUUACUUGGGUUCGGCUGGUGCACUCUUCUGUUGGUAGAUCAACAUCAGUUUUGGCUGCUGGAAAAAACUGGGAGAAGGUAGCUUGGGCUUCGGCUUGAGUGUUAUAGCUCUCGGAAAAUACGGUGGCUGGGACUGAGGACUGCUGCGCAUGCUUUUGGGCUGGGUUGCUACUUGUCAAGUAGCAGGCGCUGGGUAACUGCUUGCAGAUGCUCGGUGACUUGUUGCUUGCUCUUGUAGUUUAAUUACACAUGUGCAAAGGAUGUUGAUGAAAUGAGUUUAAACGACCCGUCUUGAAACACGGACCAAGGAGUCUACCAAAUGCGCGAGUCUUUGGGUGAUAAACCCAUCGGCGAAAUGAAGGUAAUUUAGGUGUGAUCCCGAAAAGGUGCAACACCGGCCGACCUUGAGGUUUACCGACAGGUUUGAGCAAGAGCGUAUUUGGUAGGACCCGAAAGAUGGUGAACUAUGCCUGAAUAGGGUGAAGCCAGAGGAAACUCUGGUGGAAGCUCGUAGCGAUUCUGACGUGCAAAUCGAUCGUCAAAUUUGGGUAUAGGGGCGAAAGACUAAUCGAACCAUCUAGUAGCUGGUUUCCGC